ACUAAACUAUGGCCGAGAAAUACAGGACUUUGAAAAUUGUGUGUUGCAAGGGCAGGCAGCAUUGGGGGGUCAAGGAUGUCGCGGAUGUGGUUGAUUGCUUGUAGUUCUGCAGAUUUGCUGUCAUUCUGAAAAAGGCAGGAAAAUACCUUCUAGCUGUCUGUUAUGGUAACCAGCCACUCAUUCCCACAAACCCUCCCACAAACCCUUCCACUUGCCUUCUGUUGUAGCAUUCCAUUUCGUUACUAUACUCUUCUCCCAAGCCACCAGCAAGAAACACGAAAACCCCUGCUGAGAACCCUUGACCAGGCCAUCAAGGAUGAUUGUUCUAUAUCUAUCACCACCUUGGCCAACAA
rnacentral:sRNA from 1 species